rnacentral:misc_RNA from 1 species
GUGAGUCAUCGAAUCUUUGAACGCACAUUGCGCCCAUUAGUAUUCUAGUGGGCAUGCCUGUUCGAGCGUCAUUUCGACCCUUAAGCCCUCGUUGCUUAGCGUUGGGAGCUUACGACGUAGCGUAACUCCUCAAAGUCGUUGGCGGAGUCGGGUUAGGCUCUGAGCGUAGUAGUUGAUACGUACCCGCUUCUGCAGAUAACCCGUCCCCUCGCCAUUAAACAACCCCCCUUCUGAAAAUUUGACCUCGGAUCAGGUAGGAAUACCCGCUGAACUUAAGCAUAUCAAUAAGCGGAGGA